UUAAAAUUAUUUUUUUGGAAACUUCCCCAAAAUCAAAAUCCAAAAGCUUCUGAUACACGAAGAUAGCCCUUCUCUCCAGCUCGUUUUCUCAUUUUCAUCUCUGAAAAAAUAAUAAGGAACACAUUUUGCCUACAUAUAUCCGAACAUAGAUAUGUACAUCUGUUCUCCAUUCAGCUGUAUCGAUUAAUCGAUAAACUGGAAAUUUGCAAAAGAUCCAAAUCCAUAAAACUCUCUCUUCAUCUAGGUAUACAGAUAUACAACCCUAGCUUCUAAAUCAAAUUACAACAAAACAGAAAACGAAAACCCUAGAAUGUAAUCGCUGUAUAUAAUUGCAGUUUUGUUGAUUAAAUAGCUGCUGACUGUACUAAUAUUGUACAAUUUUGGGUUAAUUUGGGAAAUUGUUGUAUAAGAUGGUUUGAAUCUAGUUUAUGAUUUGAUAGUGGUUGCAAAAUAUUGGUUGUGUUUGCGCUUUGGGAGCAGAGGCGGAUACAGGAUUUGAAGUUUAUGAGUUCGGGAUGCCAACUGAACUGGAACUGAUCAUUUGAGUUACUGCGUUCAAAAUUUAAUAUCUCUACAUAUUUAGUAGAUUUCUUUAACACAUAAUCAGGACAGAGUUUGAGCCAGAGCUAUUGGGUUCAGCUGAACCCUUAGCUUUAAUUGUUCAUCAGAAUGAGCUCGGGGAUUGAUGAUGGAAGCUCCACUAAUUGCGCAUCAGAAGCUCGAAAGCAUUCAAGAAUAUCAUAUUCGAGAGAGUUUCUGUUGUCGAUAAGUCAACUGGGGAUUUGCGAGAAGUUGCCAAGUGAAUUUGAUCAGUCGAUCCUGAGUGAAUUUGUGGACACUUCACAUAGCAUACAAGACCGCCAAAGAGUACCUGGCAGCUUGCCUUUGCAAGGGUUUAGACG